rnacentral:rRNA from 1 species
AUGCACGCUGGCGGCGUGCCUCAUACAUGCAAGUCGAGCGAACAGAUAAGGAGCUUGCUCCUUUGACGUUAGCGGCGGACGGGUGAGUAACACGUGGGUAACCUACCUAUAAGACUGGAAUAACUCCGGGAAACCGGGGCUAAUGCCGGAUAACAUUUAGAACCGCAUGGUUCUAAAGUGAAAGAUGGUUUUGCUAUCACUUAUAGAUGGACCCGCGCCGUAUUAGCUAGUUGGUAAGGUAACGGCUUACCAAGGCAACGAUACGUAGCCGACCUGAGAGGGUGAUCGGCCACACUGGAACUGAGACACGGUCCAGACUCCUACGGGAGGCAGCAGUAGGGAAUCUUCCGCAAUGGGCGAAAGCCUGACGGAGCAACGCCGCGUGAGUGAUGAAGGUCUUCGGAUCGUAAAACUCUGUUAUUAGGGAAGAACAAAUGUGUAAGUAACUGUGCACGUCUUGACGGUACCUAAUCAGAAAGCCACGGCUAACUACGUG